rnacentral:rRNA from 1 species
UACGGAGGAUCCAAGCGUUAUCCGGAUUUAUUGGGUUUAAAGGGUGCGUAGGCGGCCUAUUAAGUCAGGGGUGAAAGACGGUAGCUUAACUAUCGCAGUGCCUUUGAUACUGAUGGGCUUGAAUGAACUAGAGGUAGGCGGAAUGUGACAAGUAGCGGUGAAAUGCAUAGAUAUGUCACAGAACACCAAUUGCAAAGGCAGCUUACUAUGGUUUUAUUGACGCUGAGGCACGAAAGCGUGGGGAUCAAACAGG